UAGUGAACCUGCGGAAGGAUCAUUAUUGAAUAAACUUGAUGUGGUUGAGCUGACUCUUUCGGGAGUAUGUGCUCGCUCGUCAUCUUUAUCUUUCCACCUGUGCACUUUUUGUAGAUUUGGAUGUAACUGUCCGAGGCAACUCGGUUGGGAGGAAUGCUAUCUUUGAUGGCUUUCCUUGUAUGUCCAAGUCUAUGUCUUCAUAUACUCCAAGUAUGUAACAGAAUGUAUCACUGGGCCUUGUGCCUAUAAACUAUAUACAACUUUCAGCAACGGAUCUCUUGGCUCUCGCAUCGAUGAAGAACGCAGCGAAAUGCGAUAAGUAAUGUGAAUUGCAGAAUUCAGUGAAUCAUCGAAUCUUUGAACGCACCUUGCGCCCCUUGGUAUUCCGAGGGGCAUGCCUGUUUGAGUGUCAUUAAAUUCUCAACCUUACUAGCUUUUGCGAAGUAAUGGCUUGGACUUGGGGGUCUUUUGCUGGUUUCGAAAGAGAUCUGCUCCCCUUAAAUGUAUUAGCCGGUGCCCCGCGUGGACUGUCUAUUGGUGUGAUAAUUAUCUACGCCGUUAGAUGUCUGCUAUUAAAUGGGAUGUGCNGCUUCUAAUCGUCCUCAGGACAAUUAUUGACCAUUUGACCUCAAAU
rnacentral:rRNA from 1 species